rnacentral:rRNA from 1 species
UGGGGAAUUUUGGACAAUGGGCGCAAGCCUGAUCCAGCCAUGCCGCGUGCAGGAUGAAGGCCUUCGGGUUGUAAACUGCUUUUGUACGGAACGAAAAGACUCUGGUUAAUACCUGGGGUCCAUGACGGCACCGUAAGAAUAAGCACCGGCUAACUACGUGCCAGCAGCCGCGGUAAUACGUAGGGUGCGCGCGUUAAUCGCAAUUACUGGGCGUAAAGCGUGCGCAGGCGGUUAUGUAAGACAGAUGUGAUAUCCCCGGGCUCAACCUGGGAACUGCACUUGUGACUGCAUAGCUAGAGUACGGCAGAGGGGGAUGGAAUUCCACGGGUAGCAGUGAAAUGCGUAGGUAUGCGCGGGACCACCGAUGGCGAAGGCAAUCCCCUGAGCCUGUACUGACGCUCAUGAACGAAACCGUGGGGGGCAAACA